rnacentral:rRNA from 1 species
GGGCGUCAGUCAUUAUAGAGACAUGCAGUCGAGCGAAUGGAUUAAGAGCUUCGCUCUUAUGAAGUUAGCGGCGGACGGGUGAGUAACACGUGGGUAACCUGCCCAUAAGACUGGGAUAACUCCGGGAAACCGGGGCUAAUACCGGAUAACAUUUUGAACCGCAUGGUUCGAAAUUGAAAGGCGGCUUCGGCUGUCACUUAUGGAUGGACCCGCGUCGCAUUAGCUAGUUGGUGAGGUAACGGCUCACCAAGGCCACGAUGCGUAGCCGACCUGAGAGGGUGAUCGGCCACACUGGGACUGAGACACGGCCAAGACUUAUACGGGAGGCAGCAGUAGGGAAUCUUCCGCAAUGGACGAAAGUCUGACGGAGCAACGCCGCGUGAGUGAUGAAGGCUUUCGGGUCGUAAAACUCUGUUGUUAGGGAAGAACAAGUGCUAGUUGAAUAAGCUGGCACCUUGACGGUACCUAACCAGAAAGCCACGGCUAACUACGUGCCAGCAGCCGCGGUAAUACGUAGGUGGCAAGCGUUAUCCGGAAUUAUUGGGCGUAAAGCGCGCGCAGGUGGUUUCUUAAGUCUGAUGUGAGAGCCCACGGCUCAACCGUGGAGGGUCAUUGGAAACUGGGAGACUUGAGUGCAGAAGAGGAAAGUGGAAUUCCAUGUGUAGCGGUGAAAUGCGUAGAGAUAUGGAGGAACACCAGUGGCGAAGGCGACUUUCUGGUCUGUAACUGACACUGAGGCGCGAAAAGCGUGCUAGAGCAAACAGGAUUAGAUACCCUGGUAGUCCACGCCGUAAACGAUGAGUGCUAAGUGUUAGAGGGUUUCCGCCCUUUAGUGCUGAAGUUAACGCAUUAAGCACUCCGCCUGGGGAGUACGGCCGCAAGGCUGAAAACUCAUAGGAAUUGACGGGGGCCCGCACAAGCGGUGGAGCAUGUGGUUUAAUUCGAAGCAACGCGAAGAACCUUACCAGGUCUUGACAUCCUCUGACAACCCUAGAAAAUAGGGCUUCUCCUUCGGGAACCAAAUGAACAGGUGGGGCAUGGUUUUCCC